UGGAAAUUAUAUAAAAUUAAUGAGGGUAUUAUUGCCUUUCCAAAAUUUCUCCUCUCACACUUUUUAAAUAUUGCUGAUUAUUGAUGUGAUAAGGAUUCUGUGGGCGAAAUAAAUGGAAUUGGUCUCAAUUCCACCCACACAUUUAUGCUCCCACAAGAAGUUUGGCAAAGAAUUAGAAAAGUCCAAAAAACUCAUUGCAACAGAACACAAGAAAACUCAAACCACUGGACAUAAAGCCUCUGGUUUUGUGUUCACUUGCUGUGCGUAUAUAUAUGCUUCUCCCUCACCAAGGGAAUCAACAAAAUAGAAAAAGUUCUCAAGUCUCUUUCACAACUCAAAAUCGUAUAUUCUACAAGCAAAUUAUUGAACAUAAUGAGUUCAACAGGCAGAGCAUGGAUUGCAGCAGCCAGUGUGGGAGCUGUGGAGGCUUUGAAAGAUCAAGGUUUCUGCAGAUGGAAUUACACGUUCAGAUUAAUCCAACAGCAUGCUAAGAACAAUAUCAGAUCCUUCUCUCAGGCUAAGAAACUCUCUCCCCAGUCAUCUUCUAUGGUUUCGAAUAAGUUGAAAGAAGAAAAAAUGAGGCAAUCUGAAGAAUCACUCCGAAAAGUAAUGUAUUUGAGCAUUUGGGGGCCCAACUGAGAGAGUUGCUGAAAGUAUUUGUACAUAGAGAAAUUAGAAAAAUUGUAUUAUGUUUUGUCGAAUUCAUGAGAAUUAUUCUUGUUAUAGCAAGGAAAGAAGAAAAAUAAAAUUUCCAUCUCUUUUCUUUGCCUCUUCAUUGAUAAAGUGAGAAGGGAAAUUUUAUUUUUAAUUACUUCGCAGCACUUUUCGAAAAGAUCCGAAAAAAAUUACAUGCAAAAUGCAAAAGUAAUGGUCC
rnacentral:lncRNA from 1 species